rnacentral:tRNA from 2 species
GGAGAGGUGUCCGAGCGGCCGAAGGAGCUUGACUGGAAAUCAAGUAUACGCGCAAGCGUAUCGCGGGUUCGAAUCCCGCCCUCUCCGCCA